GGGUAAGUUCCGACCUGCACGAAUGGCGUAACGAUGGCGGCGCUGUCUCCACCCGAGACUCAGUGAAAUUGAAAUCGCUGUGAAGAUGCAGUGUAUCCGCGGCUAGACGGAAAGACCCCGUGAACCUUUACUGUAGCUUUGCACUGGACUUUGAGCCUGCUUGUGUAGGAUAGGUGGGAGGCUUUGAAGCGUGGACGCCAGUUCGCGUGGAGCCAUCCUUGAAAUACCACCCUGGCAUGCUUGAGGUUCUAACUCUGGUCCGUAAUCCGGAUCGAGGACAGUGUAUGGUGGGCAGUUUGACUGGGGCGGUCUCCUCCUAAAGAGUAACGGAGGAGUACGAAGGUGCGCUCAGACCGGUCGGAAAUCGGUCGCAGAGUAUAAAGGCAAAAGCGCGCUUGACUGCGAGACAGACACGUCGAGCAGGUACGAAAGUAGGUCUUAGUGAUCCGGUGGUUCUGUAUGGAAGGGCCAUCGCUCAACGGAUAAAAGGUACUCCGGGGAUAACAGGCUGAUACCGCCCAAGAGUUCAUAUCGACGGCGGUGUUUGGCACCUCGAUGUCGGCUCAUCACAUCCUGGGGCUGAAGCCGGUCCCAAGGGUAUGGCUGUUCGCCAUUUAAAGUGGUACGCGAGCUGGGUUUAGAACGUCGUGAGACAGUUCGGUCCCUAUCUGCCGUGGACGUUUGAGAUUUGAGAGGGGCUGCUCCUAGUACGAGAGGACCGGAGUGGACGAACCUCUGGUGUUCCGGUUGUCACGCCAGUGGCAUUGCCGGGUAGCUAUGUUCGGAAAAGAUAACCGCUGAAAGCAUCUAAGCGGGAAACUUGCCUCAAGAUGAGAUCUCACUGGGAACUUGAUUCCCCUGAAGGGCCGUCGAAGACUACGACGUUGAUAGGCUGGGUGUGUAAGCGUUGUGAGGCGUUGAGCUAACCAGUACUAAUUGCCCGUGAGGCUUGACCAUAUAACACCCAAACA
rnacentral:rRNA from 1 species